rnacentral:lncRNA from 1 species
CGUCGAAGUAAAAUAAUGUAAAUUGACCCCGAUUUCUCGAACUUCGAAAGUAAAAAUUUUCGAAAGAUGCAGACCUAAUGAUAAAAAUUUAAGUCGGAUGUAUUUCUUAUGUCAACUAAUCAUUUUCAUAAGAGAUUAAAGCUGAGUAAAUAUACUUGUUUGUAUAACAGUUAAAAUGACAUGUUUAUGGUGACCGCUAAUUAACAUCUUUGUUGGUCGUUCAAGCGGAAUGUUAGUGUGUUGAAC